UACGUAGGGCGCAAGCGUUAUCCGGAAUUAUUGGGCGUAAAGAGCUCGUAGGCGGUUUGUCGCGUCUGCCGUGAAAGUCCGGGGCUCAACUCCGGAUCUGCGGUGGGUACGGGCAGACUAGAGUUCGGUAGGGGAGACUGGAAUUCCUGGUGUAGCGGUGAAAUGCGCAGAUAUCAGGAGGAACACCAGCGGCGAAGGCGGCACUCUGGGCUGGAACUGACGCUGAGGAGCGAAAGCGUGGGUAGCAAACAGG
rnacentral:rRNA from 1 species